GUGUCAGCAGCCGCGGUAAUACGUAGGGGGCAAGCGUUGUCCGGAUUUAUUGGGCGUAAAGGGCGUGUAGGCGGCCUGUUAAGUCAGAGGUGAAAAUCCAGGGCUCAACCCUGGAACUGCCUCUGAAACUGGUGGGCUUGAGUGCUCUAGAGGGCAGUGGAAUUCCCGGUGUAGCAGUGAAAUGCGUAGAGAUCGGGAGGAACACCAGUGGCGAAGGCGACUGCCUGGGGAGCAACUGACGCUGAGGCGCGAAAGCUGGGGGAGCAAACGGGAUUAGAUACCCCGGUAGUCCCAGCCGUAAACGAUGAGUGCAAGGUGUAGCGGGUAUCGACCCCUGCUGUGCCGGCGUUAACGCAAUAAGCACUCCGCCUGGGGAGUACGGCCGCAAGGUUGAA
rnacentral:rRNA from 1 species